GAUGAACGCUGGCGGCGUGCCUAAUACAUGCAAGUCGAGCGAACGGACGAGAAGCUUGCUUCUCUGAUGUUAGCGGCGGACGGGUGAGUAACACGUGGAUAACCUCCCUAUAAGACUGGGAUAACUUCGGGAAACCGGAGCUAAUACCGGAUGAUAUUUUGAACCGCAUGGUUCAAAAGUGAAAGACGGUCUUGCUGUCACUUAUAGAUGGAUCCGCGCUGCAUUAGCUAGUUGGUAAGGUAACGGCUUACCAAGGCAACGAUGCAUAGCCGACCUGAGAGGAUGAUCGGCCACACUGGAACUGCGACCCGGUCCAGACUCCUACGGGAGGCAGCAGUAGGGAAUCUUCCGCAAUGGGCGAAAGCCUGACGGAGCAACGCCGCGUGAGUGAUGAAGGUCUUCGGAUCGUAAAACUCUGUUAUUAGGGAAGAACAUAUGUGUAAGUAACUGUGCACAUCUUGACGGUACCUAAUCAGAAAGCCACGGCUAACUACGUG
rnacentral:rRNA from 1 species